ACACGCUGGCGGCGUGCCUAACACAUGCAAGUCGAACGAGAAUCGAUGGAUAGAGGCUUCGGCCAAUUGAAGUUGAGGACAGUGGCGGACGGGUGAGUAACACGUGAGCAACCUGCCUUUCAGAGGGGGACAACAGUUGGAAACGACUGCUAAUACCGCAUAACGUAUUGAGGGGGCAUCCCUUUGAUACCAAAGAUUUUAUCGCUGAAAGAUGGGCUCGCGUCUGAUUAGCUAGUUGGUGGGGUGACGGCCUACCAAGGCGACGAUCAGUAGCCGGCCUGAGAGGGUGACCGGCCACAUUGGGACUGAGACACGGCCCAAACUCCUACGGGAGGCAGCAGUGGGGAAUAUUGCACAAUGGGGGAAACCCUGAUGCAGCGACGCCGCGUGAGUGAAGAAGUAUUUCGGUAUGUAAAGCUCUAUCAGCAGGGAAGAAAAUGACGGUACCUGACUAAGAAGCCCCGGCUAACUACGUG
rnacentral:rRNA from 1 species